rnacentral:tRNA from 1 species
AUUGNUUUUACUUGGCCUUAUAAACCCAAGACUAGCAAUACGAAAACUGCUGUUGUAAUUCAACUAUAAAAACC